rnacentral:rRNA from 1 species
UACGGAGGGUGCAAGCGUUAUCCGGAUUCACGUUGUUAAAGGGUGCGUAGGUGGGCAGGUAAGUCAGUGGUGAAAUCUCCUGGGCUUAACCCGGAACUGCCGUUGAUACUAUCUGUCUUGAAUAUAGUGGAGGUGAGCGGAAUAUGUCAUGUAGCGGUGAAAUGCUUAGAUAAUGACAUAGAACAUCGAUUGCGAAGGCAGCUCGCUACACUAUGAUUGACACUGAGGCACGAAAGCGUGGGGAUCAAACAGG